GACGAACGCUGGCGGCGUGCUUAACACAUGCAAGUCGAACGGAAAGGCCCUGCUUUUGUGGGGUGCUCGAGUGGCGAACGGGUGAGUAACACGUGAGUAACCUGCCCUUUACUUUGGGAUAACUUCAGGAAACUGGGGCUAAUACCGGAUAUGAGCUCCUGCUGCAUGGUGGGGGUUGGAAAGUUUCGGCGGUUGGGGAUGGACUCGCGGCUUAUCAGCUUGUUGGUGGGGUAGUGGCUUACCAAGGCUUUGACGGGUAGCCGGCCUGAGAGGGUGACAGGCCACAUUGGGACUGAGAUACGGCCCAGACUCCUACGGGAGGCAGCAGUGGGGAAUAUUGCACAAUGGGCGGAAGCCUGAUGCAGCAACGCCGCGUGCGAGAUGACGGCCUUCGGGUUGUAAACCGCGUUCGCCUGUGACGAAGCGUGAGUGACGGUAAUGGGUAAAGAAGCACCGGCUAACUACGUG
rnacentral:rRNA from 1 species